UGCAGUGGCGGACGGGUGAGUAUCGCGUAGGGAUUUAUCGUUGGGUGGGGGAUAACCGCGGGAAACUGCGGCUAAUACCGCAUGACGCCUGUGGGCCAAAGCAGAGAUGCGCCCGAUGAGGAGCCUGCGUUCGAUUAGCUAGUUGGUUGGGUAAUGGCUGACCAAGGCGAUGAUCGAUAGCUGGUCUGAGAGGAUGAUCAGCCACACUGGGACUGAGACACGGCCCAGACUCCUACGGGAGGCAGCAGUGGGGAAUAUUGGACAAUGGGCGCAAGCCUGAUCCAGCAAUGCCGCGUGGAUGAAGAAGGUCUUCGGAUUGUAGAGUCCUUUCGGCGGGGACGAUGAUGACGGUACCCGCAGAAGAAGCCCCGGCUAACUUCGUGCCAGCAGCCGCGGUAAUACGAAGGGGGCUAGCGUUGCUCGGAAUGACUGGGCGUAAAGGGCGCGUAGGCGGACAUAUUAGUCAGGCGUGAAAUUCCUGGGCUUAACCUGGGGGCUGCGUUUGAUACGGUGUGUCUUGAGUGGGGAAGAGGGUCGUGGAAUUCCCAGUGUAGAGGUGAAAUUCGUAGAUAUUGGGAAGAACACCGGUGGCGAAGGCGGCGACCUGGUCCUUGACUGACGCUGAGGCGCGAAAGCGUGGGGAGCAAACA
rnacentral:rRNA from 1 species